AGACGUAGGGGGCGAGCGUUGCUCGGAUUCACUGGGCUUAAAGCGCGCGUAGGCGGUUUGCUCAGUCGGAUGUGAAAGCCCAGGGCUCAACCUUGGAACUGCAUACGAUACUGGCAAACUAGAGUGUGAGAGAGGAUAGUGGAAUUUCCGGUGUAGCGGUGAAAUGCGUAGAUAUCGGAAGGAACAUCAGUGGCGAAGGCGACUGUCUGGCUCAACACUGACGCUGAGGUGCGAAAGCGUGGGUAGCAAACAGGAUUAGAAACCCCAGUAGUCC
rnacentral:rRNA from 1 species